rnacentral:rRNA from 1 species
AGCUCCGCAAGUGUAUAUCUAUGUUGCUGCGGUUAAAAAGCUCGUAGUUGGAUCUGCGUGUUUAGCGUCCGGUUCGUCUUCGCGACGUUACUGGAAUUGCGACACAGAUGUGUUGGUUUGUCAUUCAUUUUCUUAACCGGGAGUGAAUGGCGGCUAACGAGUUUACUUUGAAAAAAUUAGAGUGCUCAAAACAGGCGUUUCGUCUGAAUAUUUCUGCAUGGAAUAAUAGAAUAGGACUUCGACUUCUAUUCUGUUGGUCUCCGGAACUGCGAGGUAAUGAUUAAGAGGGACAGACGGGGGCAUUCGUACUGCGACGUUAGAGGUGAAAUUCUUGGAUCGUCGCAAGACGCACUACUGCGAAGGCAUUUGCCAAGAAUGUUUUCA